AUUCUACUCCCUCCGUUCCACAAUAGUACAUGCCUUCUAUUUGUCAAAAAUAUAGAUGUAUCUAGACAUGUUUUAGUAUAUAGGUACAUCCAUUUUUGGACAAAUGGAUGUCAAGUAUUUUGGAACAGAGGGAGUACACA
rfam:Triticum aestivum genome assembly, contig: Triticum_aestivum_CS42_TGACv1_scaffold_329225_4BS